CGGCUGCGUAGUGGCUCUGCUCGGCGGCGCUGUGCUGCUGGCUGCGGACCUCCUCCCCGGCACCGGCCCGGCACGGCAGGUGCGGGGGGGCCUGCGCCGAGCCGAGCCGGUGCAGGAUGUCUGGGUUGAACUGGUCAUGGUCUUGCGGUUGCCCUUGCGCUGGCCCCAGCACUCGGCCAGCUUCUCCUUGUUCUUGGAGAUGAAGUGGAAGGUGCCGCUGACGCUGUCCGUCCACUGGAUGGAGUCGCCCAUGCUGGGGUCAUUCAGAGCUUCGUGGAGGGGGAACCUCCAUAAAUUAGAGACCGCAACCUGUCGGGCGGAGACGCGACUGACGCUGACAGAUGUGCGCUGCUGUUGGCUCCAUGUGGGGUGAUGAUGGCUUCAUCUGUUAAGUCAACAAAGAUGCUUUUUGUUUCAUGGUGGUGUUAGAGUCUUUCUGUUUUGUUCUGUUUUAUUUUUUGUCCUGUUGAUUCAUUUCUUUCUGGUCCAUGUGAACUUUUUAAACUGUUCAGCUGCGUGUUUUUCUACUUUAGCGUUCUGUGGUCCUGCUCUGUUCUACUGUUCUACUGGGUUCUCUAAUAAUUACUUUUAAACUGCCAUUCAAUUACGAUCUGCAACUUAUCAGUGUGAUUUUAUGCUCUGUUUUGAUGUUUUCUGAUAAAGAUUAUGUUCACUUCUAUUUCACAAUUUUUUUCUGAGCUAUGUUUUCCUUAUUUUUGUUAUUUUAUUUUCUCUACACUUUCAGUUGUUUUUUGUUCAAAUUGAAAAUCAACUCAAUUCAUUCAAUACAUUAAUUAAAGCUUUACUGUCUAACUGCCUCGGAGCUUCUGCUCAGUUUGUUUUGGUGAAGUUAUGAAGCUAUUGUCAUAUAUUGUAUAUUAACACAACUG